rnacentral:rRNA from 1 species
GUGGGGAAUAUUGCACAAUGGGCGAAAGCCUGAUGCAGCGACGCCGCGUGAGCGAUGAAGUAUUUCGGUAUGUAAAGCUCUAUCAGCAGGGAAGAAAAAAUGACGGUACCUGACUAAGAAGCUCCGGCUAAAUACGUGCCAGCAGCCGCGGUAAUACGUAUGGAGCAAGCGUUAUCCGGAUUUACUGGGUGUAAAGGGAGUGUAGGCGGUUUUAUAAGUCUGAUGUGAAAGCCCGUGGCUCAACCGCGGGACUGCAUUGGAAACUGUAGAACUAGAGUGUCGGAGAGGUAAGUGGAAUUCCUAGUGUAGCGGUGAAAUGCGUAGAUAUUAGGAGGAACACCAGUGGCGAAGGCGGCUUACUGGACGAUUACUGACGCUGAGGCUCGAAAGCGUGGGGAGCAAACAGG